GGCUUCGUGGUCGAGUGGUAAGAAUACUUGUCUUCCACUCUAGAAUCCCGGGUUUGAUCUCCGGUAGAGAAGCUA